GACGAACGCUGGCGGCGUGCCUAAUACAUGCAAGUCGAGCGCACAGACGAGGAGCUUGCUCCUCUUACGUUAGCGGCGGACGGGUGAGUAACGCGUAGAUAACCUGCCUAUUAGACUGGGAUAACUUCGGGAAACCAUAGCUAAUACCGCAUAACAUAUUGUACCACAUGGUUCAUUAGUGAAAGACGGUCUUGCUCUACCACAUGGAGGACUCGCGGUCGAUUAAGUUAUAUGUGAGGGUAACGGCUUACCAAGCGGAGAAUGAGAAGCCGACCUGAGAGGGGGACCGGCAACACGGGAACGGAGAAACGCUCCGGACCCCUACGGGAGGAACAGGAGGGGAAUUUCGGGAAUAGGGGGAAAGCCUAACGGGGCAAGGCGGGGGGAGGAAGGAGGUUCUUCGGAUCGUAAGACUCUGUGAUUAGGGAAGAAGGAAUGUGGAGGUAAAUGUGCACGUUUUGACGGUAGCUAAUCAGAAAGCCACGGCUAACUACGUG
rnacentral:rRNA from 1 species